ACUACACAAUCUCAACCCAACGCAACACAUUGCUAUGAGGAGAGGAUAAGACCUCACAAACCCAAAAGUAAAAAAACACAACCAUCUCAAAUAAAGCAAUCAAAUCCACACAUCUCAUACCCUCUUUGUCUACUGCAAUCUAACCAUUGCACAGCCUAAAAAAGCUGAACCUCAUUGAAACAAUGUCUUGCUCCAAUCUCACAAUGUUGGUGUCUUCCAAACCUUCUCUAUCUGAUGCCUCCAACCUCUCCUUCCGUUCUGUCUUCAACCCUUUUCAGCUUCCUUCACAAAAUUCAUCUUCCUUCACCCCUUCAAGAUCCUCUAUCACUCCAAUUCAGUGUGGCCUUAGAGAGCUCAGAACCCGUAUUGAUUCUGUGAAAAACACCCAGAAAAUCACAGAGGCAAUGAAGCUUGUGGCUGCUGCAAAAGUCAGAAGAGCUCAAGAAGCUGUUGUUAAUGGCAGGCCCUUCUCAGAGACCCUUGUUGAAGUCCUUUACAACAUCAAUGAGCAGCUCCAAACUGAAGAUAUUGAUGUUCCUCUCACUAAGGUUAGGCCUGUGAAGAAGGUGGCCUUAGUUGUUUGCACUGGAGAUAGAGGUCUUUGUGGUGGUUUUAACAAUGCAAUCAUCAAGAAAGCUGAGACUAGAAUUGCUGAGUUGAAGGAACUUGGCCUUGAAUACACUGUUAUCAGUGUUGGCAAAAAGGGUAACUCUUAUUUCAUUCGUAGACCUUACAUACCGGUUGAUAGGUUUCUUGAAGGUGGUACACUUCCCACUGCUAAAGAGGCUCAAGCAAUUGCUGAUGAUGUUUUCUCACUGUUUGUGAGUGAAGAGGUUGAUAAAGUGGAACUUUUGUAUACUAAGUUUGUGUCAUUAGUGAAGUCAGAUCCUGUAAUUCACACCUUGCUUCCACUCUCACCAAAAGGAGAGAUAUGUGAUGUGAAUGGUAUUUGUGUGGAUGCUGCUGAGGAUGAGUUCUUCAGGUUAACAACAAAAGAAGGAAAGUUAACUGUGGAAAGAGACACAGUGAGGACUCAAACAGCAGAUUUCUCUCCAAUUUUGCAAUUUGAGCAGGACCCAGCUCAGAUCCUUGAUGCACUUUUGCCUCUAUAUUUGAACAGCCAAAUAUUGAGAGCAUUGCAGGAAUCACUUGCUAGUGAGCUUGCUGCUAGAAUGAGUGCCAUGAGCAAUGCAACUGAUAAUGCUGUAGAGUUGAAGAAGAACUUGUCCAUUAUCUACAAUAGGGAACGUCAGGCUAAGAUCACUGGUGAAAUACUGGAAAUUGUGGCUGGUGCCAAUGCCUUGCAAUAGUGUGCACUCUGGCUCUUACCUCAUCCAUGGUUGAAUUGAAUUUCUUUGUAGGAAUCUAUUCUCUAAACUAAGUGACUCCCACAGGAUUUUGUAUAUCAAAACAAUUAGAGCAAGUGAGAAAGUAAUCUCGUGUCAAUUCUAUUAAAUAUUAUAGUGCAUGUAAUUUAUGCCUUGUACAACAAAAUAUAUGUGAUAAGUAAGUAAUUGGAAACACAUUCUAUUGUCAUGCUUCCUUGUAAUAAAGUUAUGCAGCUAAAAAAGUUGCUGGGCCUCCGUUCGAUUAAUCAACAUAUGUAGCUUAGAAAUGCACAAAGAGGAUACAUUUCUAAUAGGCCAUCUUAGAUUCGUUAAAUAUUCAUGGGAAAUAACCAACUAAAGCAUAAUUGUGCUACAAUUGCUUUAGUCCCGAAGUUGGUCUACACAUGAUUGUUGCAAUGCCCUUUUCUGUCUUCCUGUUUUAUCCUAAACUUAUGUUCUGAUUUCUAAAGCAGAAACAUUUUGUUCGCGAAUUUAUAAGAAACUGAAUAGGAUACAUAGAACACUAAGUUUAAACAAAUUUAGAAAUAAUAGUAGAGUUUAUCCUGUGUAUGAAUUUUCAUAGACUUUAAUAGCAAAACAAAGUGUUGCCUAUCCAUAACAAAAUUUCUGUUCAUUCAUAUAUGAAAGAAAAUGUAUUAAGUUAAACACAGAAAUUAUGAAUGUUCAAAAUAUCAGUUGAAGUUGGGACUUGGGAGUAUAGUAGUUUCUUAUUAAUUGUUGGAAAAAAUUGAAGAACAUAAUUUGAGACUUAUCAAAUGACACUAUACUUAAAGAUUUAUUUGCCUUUAAAUACUGCAAACAUUUUAAAGAUUUAACACGCUCUACCAAAAUUUUUUUUGGGUAAAAAAAACAUGAAAGAAAUAUAAAUAUGAAGAAAAUAAAAACAUGAAGGAGAUAUAAAUAUGAAAAGAAUAUAAACAUUUUCAAAAACCAAAAGUUGAUAGAUCUGUAUCAAAAUAAAGUAAAAAAUUCUAUAAAUAUUGUCAAUUCCAAAACUAGUACCAUGCUACUCAUGAUAAUUCAUAAUCAAUAGUAGAAUAUAUUUUUUAAAAAAAAGAUAAAGAAUAUAUAGUAAAAUAAUCAAAAGAAAGUUAUGGACAGAAUCAGUUUCAAAAUAAAUAUAACAAUAUGUACAAUUAACUAGGGAGUGGCGGCGGAUUAAUCUGUAACAUUAUAUUAAUUUUGACAUAUAGUAAAUGUAAUUUUUUUUACAUUAUCAAUCAAUUAAUAUAUAUCAUAUAAUUUUAUAUUAAUUAUUACAUAAAUUCAUAAUUAGAUAAUAGUGUGAAAAAUUUUAUAUUGUAUAUUUAAAUUAAAUUUUAAAAUUAAUACAUAUGCAUGUAUAUUGUUGGACCUAGAGCAAAGGUUGAACAUGUCCUUUCCUUGAUAUGUUUGGUUUGAAAAGCUUAUCCCAUAGCCCAAUUUUUAUUUUUAUUUUGUUUAUAUUGUCAAUGUAAUGCAUACUUUCCAAUUUAAUUCAAAAUAGAAUAGCCAAUUAGUCAUAUGAUGAUUGUUGGUGGUCAAACAUUAGUAGGCAGCUAAAAACACCAGAUAUUCAGUUAAAAUAUAUGCAUUGCCAGUAAAAAAAAAUUGUUAAAUCCAAACUCACCUGACAAGACUACAUUAAUGAGUUGCACUGUACAUUUUUCCAACGGUUUCAUUAGUAGUGUUUUCUAGUAGAUUAUGUUGCUGGCUAUUAAAGAAAUAUAUCAUUUUUUUACUCAUAAAUUUGUUAUAGAAAUUGAUCAAUGACAGAAAUUGUUUAAGAAUAAGGAAAAAUAAUCUUAUGCAAAUAUCAUGAAAUAAGAUUUCUUGAUAGUUUUCUUAUAAAUCAAAUUAUAUACUAAUACUCAGUGAAAUUAAAAUUUAAAGGAAUUUUUUUAUUAAUUAUAUGUAAAAUAUUCAUAAAAAAUAAAAUAUAUUUUUGAAGUAAACAUAAGAGU